GAUGUACUCCCUCCGUUCCUAAAUAUUUGUCUUUCUAGACAUUUCAAAUGACUACUACAUACGGAUAUAUGUAGACAUAUUUUAGAGUGUAGAUUCACUCAUUUUGUUCCGUAUGUAGUCACUUAUUGAAAUGACUAGAAAGACAAGUAUUUAGGAACGGAGGGAGUAUUAU
rnacentral:pre_miRNA from 1 species